rnacentral:lncRNA from 1 species
UCGUCGAUCAUAGGGAUUAGUUUUUCAUCGAUACGAAAGAUCUUGAUCCCUUUUAUUGAGUUUUGUAAGACUUUUACUAAAGUAUCGUAAUCUGGUGUGGAUACUUUUAAUAUACAACUAAGGUAUGAAAAGUGUGGUAAGGUUGCUUGACAGACUUUACCACGCCGCAGUUAUAUCUAAGAUAUCUGAUGCUUUAAAGAGCCAAAGUGUGCAGAUUGUACUUUUUCAGUAUAUUUACAGAAGUAAUUUUUAGAAAAAUCCAUAUGGAUCAAGAUUUUAUCAACAGACAAAUUCUUUUUCAUGUUCCACUUUAAAACUCCCAUCAAAAGAUGAUAGAAACUAUGUUACCACCUUUAGCGGUCAUUCCUCUGGCUCGCAAGAAGUACGUAAAUAAUAUGAUGGUAGAUGGCGAUAUGUCUUCGCACGCAACCAGAUAUGCUUUUCACAACCUAGUUCUUGCAGAGUGUCACUAAGCAAAUGUUGUCGAACUAAAACAAUACGUCUUCUUUUUAACGUUUUGUUCCCAAAUUGUUAAUGUCACACACAGAUUGACCAUUCCUCUGGGAACGCAGUUACUACUUCAAAUGGAUGGCAGAAAAAUGCACGUAUGUUGACAAGACAUCACAAAAGGAAAAGCAGGUUAGAAAGACAUCAAAGAAGAAAGUUGAAUGCCAGGUUUCUGAUAUUAUAGCUGAUUUUAAACAAAGUAUUAUACAAUUUCUGAAGUACAAAGGCAGAUCCUUACAUCAGUACAAACAACUCAAAGAACUUAAAGAGAAUCUUCGAAUUACCGAGGCGGUUAUUCACAUGGAUUUUAGUGGUAACUACAACAUGAAAUAUGCAGAAGAGAUACAAGCAUUCCACUUCGGAGGAUCAAGAAACCAGAUAUCUCUAUAUACUGUUGUUUUAUAUACCAAACAAGAUGAGGUACAGCAAGAAUGCUUUUGCACUUUAUCAGAAUCGCUUCUACAUAAUAUCUCGGCCAUUUAGACCCAAUAAUAAAGUGCAUAACAAACUCUUACCCAACAGUUGAUACGCUUCACUUUCUUAGUGACUCACCGUCGACUCAAUACCGUAAUAAAACCAUGUUUUAUUUCCUAGCAAUCGAGUUGCCAAAAUUGCACCCAAAAGUAAAAAAUUUUACUUGGAACUAUUUAGAAGCUGGUCACGGAAAGGGGGCACCUGACGGGAUAGGAGGAGUUACUAAAAGGACGUUAGAUAGAUUGGUUGGUCAAGGAGCAGAUAUGGUCGAAAUAAAAGCUAUGUUGAAUAACCUGUGCCAAAACAUUACUUACUAUCAGAUUGAUGCAGACAAAAUUAAUGAAAUGUCCCAAAAACUUAAGAAUGUUUUGCUACAAACUUUUAGAGGAACAAUGAAAGUACACCAAAUAAAAAAAGAAGAUUAUGAAAGUAGCAUCAGAUUAAACUUUUAUGAACUUAGCACUUUCAUAAACGGCAAUAAAAAAUACUUUAUUGGUUCCCUUAAAUUCAACAAAAUUGGGCUUAAUGAUGAACUAUCUUUAGUGACACGUCUAGUGAUGAUGAGGACACUCCUUUAAGCAGAUAUAUCAGCGGUUCCAUAAAAGUUCAAAAUAAGCUACAGUUUGAAGAUGUUUAUUCUGACGAAGAUCAAGAAGCUGCUUGUUCAAGUGUAAAACGUUAACGUUUUUUCGUUAUUGCAUUGAAUAUUCUUUUGUUUUAAGCUCUUAAGUUUAUUCACUGUUUUGGUUUUAACAUGCAUAUUAUGCCUAAUAUUGUAUUAUUUUGCCGUAUCAAAUAAAAAAAUCAUUCCUC